UACGAGGGGGGCGAGCGUUGUUCGGAAUUAUUGGGCGUAAAGGGUGCGUAGGCGGUUUGGUAAGUCUGAUGUGAAAUCUAUGGGCUCAACUCAUAGUCUGCAUCGGAAACUGCCGGGCUUGAGUAUGGGAGAGGUGAGUGGAACUGCGAGUGUAGAGGUGAAAUUCGUAGAUAUUCGCAAGAACACCAGUGGCGAAGGCGGCUCACUGGCCCGAUACUGACGCUGAGGUGCGAAAGCGUGGGGAGCAAACAGG
rnacentral:rRNA from 1 species